rnacentral:rRNA from 1 species
GACAGAGGGUGCAAGCGUUGUUCGGAUUUAUUGGGCGUAAAGAGUGCGUAGGCGGCGCGGUAAGUCGGGUGUGAAAUCUCGGAGCUUAACUCCGAAACUGCAUUCGAUACUGCCGUGCUUGAGGACUGGAGAGGAGACUGGAAUUUACGGUGUAGCGGUGAAAUGCGUAGAUAUCGUAAGGAAGACCAGUGGCGAAGGCGGGUCUCUGGACAGUUCCUGACGCUGAGACGCGAAAGCGUGGGGAGCAAACAGG